GAUGAAGAACGUAGCGAAAUGCGAUAAGUAGUGUGAAUUGCAGAAUUCAGUGUAUCAUCGAAUCUUUGAACGCACAUUGCGCCCCAUGGUAUUCCGUGGGGCAUGCCUGUUCGAGCGUCAUUUACCCCCUCAAGCUCCGCUUGGUGUUGGGCGUCUGUCCCGCUUCGCGCGCGGACUCGCCCCAAAGGUAUUGGCAGCGGUCGUGCCAGCUUCUCGCGCAGCACAUUGCGCUUCUCGAGGCACCGGUGGGCCCGCGUCCAUCAAGCUCACCCCCCCAGUUUGACCUCGGAUCAGGUAGGGAUACCCGCUGAACUUAAGCAUAUCAAUAAGCGGAGGA
rnacentral:misc_RNA from 1 species